UGAGUAACCUGCCCUUAGCUCUGGGAUAAGCCUGGGAAACUGGGUCUAAUACCGGAUAUGACUCCUCAUCGCAUGGUGGGGGGUGGAAAGCUUUAUUGGUGGUUUUGGAUGGACUCGCGGCCUAUCAGCUUGUUGGUGAGGUAAUGGCUCACCAAGGCGACGACGGGUAGCCGGCCUGAGAGGGUGACCGGCCACACUGGGACUGAGACACGGCCCAGACUCCUACGGGAGGCAG
rnacentral:rRNA from 1 species